rnacentral:tRNA from 1 species
GGAGGAGUGGCAGAGUGGUCGAUUGCACCUGUCUUGAAAACAGGCGUGCUGAAAGGUACCGUGAGUUCGAAUCUCACCUCCUCCG